rnacentral:snoRNA from 1 species
UCAUGAUGAGACUUUUAGAUGACGAGUCAUAUUGGGGUUUCCCAUGCUGAUAACCAAUUUACUACCAUUCAUGCAUUCUCUGAAA